rnacentral:rRNA from 1 species
CCUUGUACACACCGCCCGUCACACCAUGGGAGUCGUUUGCUCCAGAAGUGCCUGCGCUAACCCGCAAGGGAAGCAGGGCCCCAAGGAGUAAACGGUAACUGGGGUG